AUAACUUAUUAGAAGAAAUUUUCUGGACUCGGUUUAACGAUGACGUCACAGGAAUGUUUUAAGUGAUAUUGUAGAAUUGGAGGGUGGAAAUGCUUUGCUAAAUGUUGAUAAGACUUGCAAAUUAUUUGAUUAAAUGAUUUAGCGAACCAAAACAAUGAAUUGCUAGACAGGUUCAUGUGGAGAAAUUUUUCUAUGUAAGUGGAGAAGGUUGAAGGUCAAUGUAUAGUUUAAUGGUUUUUUUUCAAAGAGAAUGUGGUCAGGAUCAUCGAGAAUUAACGUUUAGAUAUGUGAGAAAUGUGAUUUUCACAGUCCACUGAAAGUCUUUAUGUACGUUCUGAUCAUAUCUGAUGUGAUUUGUGGUAGCGGGUAAUUCAAAUGAUAAAACAGGUUAAUUUUGAUUUGUGGUUCUAAAAAAUAAAGUCAAUAGUAGCAUAAUUAUUUUAUACUGAAUAAUUUACUAGUUUGUAGUGUUUUUCCGCUGUAUCGCACUACUUGUGUCAUUCUUAUUGUGUUAAACAAUAAAUUUAUUUAUGUAUUUGC
rnacentral:misc_RNA from 1 species